rnacentral:rRNA from 1 species
GAGGAACUUGUUCCUCGAGUCGUUGAUUUCACACUGCCGAGAAAAGCCUCUAGCUAGAAUAACGGUGCCCGUACCGCAAACCGACACAGGUAGUCAAGAUGAGAAUUCUAAGGUGAGCGAGCGAACUCUCGUUAAGGAACUCGGCAAAAUGACCCCGUAACUUCGGGAGAAGGGGUGCUCUUUGAGGUUCACGCUUCGAAGAGCCGCAGUGAAUAGGCCCAAGCGACUGUUUAUCAAAAACACAGGUCUCUGCUAAACCGUAAGGUGACGUAUAGGGGCUGACGCCUGCCCGGUGCUGGAAGGUUAAGAGGAGUGGUUAGCGCAAGCGAAGCUACGAAUCGAAGCCCCAGUAAACGGCGGCCGUAACUAUAACGGUCCUAAGGUAGCGAAAUUCCUUGUCGGGUAAGUUCCGACCCGCACGAAAGGCGUAACGAUUUGGGCACUGUCUCAACGAGAGACUCGGUGAAAUCAUAGUACCGGUGAAGAUGCCGGUUACCCGCGACAGGACGGAAAGACCCCGUGGAGCUUUACUGUAGCCUGAUAUUGAAAUUCGGUACAGUUUGUACAGGAU